CACGUAGGGGGCGAGCGUUGUCCGGAUUUAUUGGGCGUAAAGAGCUCGUAGGUGGUUCGGUAAGUCGGGUGUGAAAACUCUGGGCUCAACUCAGAGACGCCACCCGAUACUGCUGUGACUUGAGUCUGGUAGGGGAGUGUGGAAUUCCCAGUGUAGCGGUGAAAUGCGCAGAUAUUGGGAGGAACACCAGUGGCGAAGGCGGCACUCUGGGCCAGUACUGACACUGAGGAGCGAAAGCGUGGGUAGCGAACAGGAUUAGAUACCCCCGUAGUCC
rnacentral:rRNA from 1 species